CCUACGGGUGGCAGCAGUGGGGAAUAUUGGGCAAUGGGCGCAAGCCUGACCCAGCAACGCCGCGUGAAGGAAGAAGGCUUUCGGGUUGUAAACUUCUUUUCUCAGGGACGAAGCAAGUGACGGUACCUGAGGAAUAAGCCACGGCUAACUACGUGCCAGCAACCGCGGUAAGACGUAGGUGGCAAGCGUUAUGCGGAUUUACUGGGUGUAAAGGGCGUGUAGGCGGGACUGCAAGUCAGAUGUGAAAACGAUGGGCUCAAACAAUGGCCGGCAUUUGAAACUGUAGGUAUUGAGUACUGGAGAGGCAGACAGAAUACCUAGUGUAGCGGUGAAAUGCGUAGAGAUUAGGAGGAACACCAGUGG
rnacentral:rRNA from 1 species